CUGGAAGAAUGCAAGCUAGCUUGAACUAAAAUUAUGCCAGGGCCCAAUUUAGUAGUAGGCACAAAACCAUCCAUGUAACUCUGUGGUCCUGUUAAGUUUAUUAGUGUCAGAAUGAAACCUCAGUCACACUGGCAAGAGUCAACAGAAAACCUUUAUUGGCCACAGUGAUCAGAAGAUACUGAGAGAUAUAAUUAUUAGCUUCACUUCCUUCACAUUUAUGUUCUUUUUCCCCCCUCAUUCUGGCUAUUACCAAAAUAAUAGUGAAAUGAACAUUUUUUUUCAGACUCAUAGAGUAAUGAAAUUGGGUUGUUUCCUAACCAAAACUUGCUGUUAGUUUUGAGUGAUCCUCUGGGUUAAGAAACAGGCAGAGGUUCUGGAAAAGCCAGCUUCAGCUCUCCUUCUGGGCAGACAAUCUCCAGUGGCUUUGAGCAAGGAGCUUAGGUCAUCUGUGAUUCCACAACUCAUUUGGAUAAAGAGUUAAAAGCUGCAAUGUGUUGAGACACAAACACACCAGGUGCAUAAGCACACUGAACUGAUGUGAGCAUAAAACUCACUUUUAUUUCUGUAGCUUUUUUUUUUCUUCAUGAAUCUGGGAAGGGAAUUUGUUUUAAACUCUGUGAAAUGGACAUGAGUGCAUUCACCCCCAUGUCAGGAUAUAUUCAGUGUAGCACAGAGGGAGGGUGUGUGUAAGCCUGAAGUAUUCUACAGGGAUGGCUGUGCUAAUCUGGGGAGUGCCUGCUCUGUUUCUAGAGCUAACUCUCUGCACCUGGUACCCCAAUCAACGCUUGUAAAACUAUCCUUCACUAUGCCAUACUUCUGCCUGCAGCAAUAUGAAUAGGAAUCAGAAAUGACCUGCAUGUAUUGAAUUAAACCACGAUUUUCCAGUGAUCUCAGCAGCAGCAGAAGGGAGAUGUUUUAAUCAUUGUAUUAUCAGUUUGUGAGUGAUGCAGACUAUGGCAAUAACACUUCAUCCAAUCUGCUGAUUCAGGGGGAUAGUAGGAGGCAGCUGCUGAACUGCAAAUGGAGACACGAGUCACCCUUGAUUUGGUGCAGCCAUGUAGCUCUGGAAAUGGAAGGAUAAAUCUGAACAAAAAUCACAUAGAUUCAUAUAGUAUCUUGAGUUGGAAGGGACCCACAAGGAUCAUUGAGUUCAACCCCUGGCUCCACACAGGCCCACCCAAUGCUCAAAAGCUAUGUGUUGUCCAAAUGCUCCUUGAACUCCAGCAACUUGAGGCCAUGCUCCCCACCCUCUGCUUUCAGCUUCUGAUAAACCCAGCGACUCAUUGUCCAGCUUCCUGUUCCUGAUAUGCAGAACACAUGUCAGAACAACUGGAGGGAUGACAACAAUGAGAGAUGAAAAAUGGACUUGGCCAGGUCUGGUUCUGGAUACUGCAACACUUAGUAAGACAAUAAAUAACAUCUACAGGAAUGUCCAGCUGAAGAGAAAAAGGUACCAUUGGCAUUACAUACUCCCAGGGCAACCAGUAUUUGGAAACAGCAAAGUUUUUGGAAUUCAGCACUGUUGCUUAAGUACUGCUGUGGGCUGAAAGAGUUAAUCCACUCUAGUGGAGUGGCAAAUAAGACUGUCCCCAAAGACAUGCCUGCUGCUGACUAUUCUACAAGUCCAGCUACAGGAGAAGCAAAGGCCUCUGCUCCAGGCACAAGUGUCCUAAAAGUCAGAUGCAGAAAUUCUUCUGGAAGAGAUACCACCCAGUUUCGGACUAGCAUACUUGGUAACUAUUUGGGGUAGAUCUUUUAAAACCUCUGAAGAAAUGUCUUUAUGAAUUGCAUACCCUGAUUGCAGUGUGGACACAUUCUGAGUCACUUGUGAGACAUCGUGUGUGUAUUAUGCAACUGCUGAAGGAUUCAGAUCAGUAUACACAUCGGGAUAGUGAGUGCAAUCAUGCCUUAAUGCAUGUCUGGCCUAGAGACAUGUUGUGAAGUGUCUUCAGUAAGAAGAUCUCACCAGUGUUUUUAUAGCUCCAGCUGGCUGCUGAGUGAUUCAAUUAAGUUUUUUAGGAUGACAUACCAUUUUGCAAACAAAGUGCCACAUACUUAGUAGUUUAACAGUAAGGAAGGCAAGAUGAGGGCAUGUCAGUAAAGAAGAGCUUCCCACUUUGUUUUGAUUUAUGGUUCAUUCUUGUAAAAAAAAAACCAACAAAACAAAACAAACAAACAAAAAAUAACAUAUUCUGGAGCAUGAUUUUGUCUAGUUCCCCUCAAUUACCAGUAAAACCUCAUUUAUCAGUAGAAGAUACUUCUUAAUAUGUGAUAAGAAGUGUGUUGUUAACUUCAUCCAGAGAGAAAUACAAAUAGAUAGAGCAAGGAUGAAGCAAUGCAACUCCCAUCAGAAUGUAUGACUGUCAUCGUAUCUAAUGAGUAUCACUGUACAUACAUGCAUACUCCAUUAUAGCAACACCAAGAGAUAAGAGAGCAGGAUUCUACGUGUGUUGACAUCUUCUAUAUCUGGUUUCUGCAAAUAUAGGACUCCAGAUAGAUGAGCUCAAUUAAAUAGUUCACUUGUGAAAAACAAAGCAAAUGCUAGUAUAAGAAUUCCUACAUUCUAUAUUACAACAUUUGGACAAACGGAAACACCCUAUCUGGCUAACCUCAUUGUAUCUGAUGCUUAUAAAUGUUUUAAACACGGUUCCUCAAAAUGAAAAGAAUACAUAGUUCUCCAUGUUAACUGCUUCUCUGGGAAAAAGUAGUGUUGGUACAGCCUGAGGAGGGAGUCAUGUUGCAAUCUCAGCACCAGCUUUGCAUACAGGGAGGUUGGUGGGAGUGCAGGCAGUUUAAAUAUAGGAAAGGUCUAAUUGCCACUAAUCAUAUGAUUACUUACAAUUACUUAAUAUAGCUCUGGAAUUAAAAAAUAAAAAUACAUUAUAUUUAGGCACUGAUAUAUAACCCUGGCAUAAGGAUGUGCUUUUGGCAAAAGUACACUGUAAACACAUAGUAAAUGGAAAGGCACUGCCUUGAGGAGCUAUCAGUCUUGGGUUUAUUACAAGGUGCAAUCGGAGGAAACACAUGUAUAGGAGCUGAAAUAAAAAGGAUGUAGAAUGAAUAGUGCAAGCAUGCUUUUUCACAGGCUUUCUGUGUGUAUGAUAUCACAGUGAGCAAGGCGGCCCUGGGGCCCUCCUGCUUUGAGCUGUGGCUUAUUUAGGCACAACUCCCAUAGGCUUCAGAUAGAGUUUUGACUUAAAUGGAACCAAGUAAGAGAAAUAAGGGCUUGUUGCAAAAUGAUGAUCAGGUAUGAACAAAGGGAUGAAUGUGUUUCCCACUAUGCUGGCUUAGCAUUGCAAAGAAAAACAAAGCCUGGGAGGAACAUAAAGCAGCUUUUUAUAAUUACGGUUCUUUUUGAGUUAGCCUGAUCCCUCCUCUUUCCUUCCUUUACCUUCCCUUUCUCCUCCCAAAAUAAUAAGUUUUGCCAAUAAUUUUAAGGAAGUCUCAAAGGGCCAGAUGGAAUUCAGAGAAAGGGAUCUAACAGUUUCAUUUCAUUCUUCUUUCUGCUUAUUUUACCCCCUCCCCAAGUUUUCUUGCAAUUUAUUUCUGUGGCUUAUUGCACAAAAUGGAGGUGGUGAGGCAAAAAUAGAAGUUAAUGGUACUACCACUGUUUGUUUCUAUUAGCGUUUACAUGUGAAAUGAAGGCAUUCUGGAAGAGAACCAGACUGGCCAGUAAAACCUUUCACCCUCAUAAACUGUACAUUUGGUUUGACUUUGGCUUAGAUCCCAGAACUUGUCACAAGCUUUAUUAUAAAGCUGUAGUGUAGCUACAGUUUUGUUAGCUUUAUUACAAUGGCUCCCCUCCUUAAAAAAAAAUAAAAAUAAAAAAGAAAGAAAAAGAAGAAGCGAGCAAGAAAAGCUUUUGUUCAUUCUGAAUGCACUUCAGAUUCUGGAAGAAAUACACAAGAAAGUACAAUUAGCUAGAUAACUGGUCAGCAUCAAUCAUCAGAAUAUAAAUGAAGUUUAUCUAAAAUUUACAAAAAUGAUACAUCACCUCCUUAAAAUAGUCCAAGAGUGACUCAUCACAUAAACAAUAAGGCAGCCACCAACACUCAGGCAUGUAACAACUUCUGAGAAAGCACAGGCCCAGCACUGCCAAAGAAGAGUCUACAGAUUGACUGGAGAUAUGGACAUCUGGAGGGAAGAUGCAUGCUACACUUCAAGAUGAGAUUUUUUUCUAUAAGCUUUCCCAGAGGGGUAAUAUAGCUCUGGAGGAAUUCACUAAGGCAUAUAUAAUGAAAACAAGAAGAGAAGGAAAAGAAAUGUGUUAUGCAAUAUGUGAUUACAAAACUGUUGGUCUCAUCCUACUGUCAUGCAUCCUGUGUCUCCUCUGCACAGAGCUCCCACUUCAAGGCCAAGUUCAUGUGAGAAUAGUGCAGGUUACACACUAGUAAUGGGAUUUAAUAGGACUGCUUUGCUCAAUAAUUAUUUGUGAAUUAUUAGAUCCUGUAAUUGCAGAUUGAACAGAUAGAUAUUGAGAGGAUACAUAAAACUGCACUGGAAGAUUAGUUUGUUCAUUGCACUAGUUUGGGAUUUAAAAUAUGGUCUUGUACUAAAGGGACUAAUUUGAGACACAGAAAGUCUGUCUGACUCUAGUUGCUGUCAUUUGAUUCCUUUUUGAUCCCUGAGUAAGUAAACUACACUACCUAUAGUUCAAUUCUUAUUGAGAGAACGGUGACCAGAUUAGUCCAGUCUAAAAAGUUUAGGCUGGUCUUCCAGUCUAAAAAUUAUUUUAAUCAUCUAUUUAGGUUUUCCAUGAAGAAACCACAGUUGGUACUGGUUGUAAACUGCCAUGGUGCUGCCUGAAUCCUCCAUGGUGUUGGGCUGAAAACUUUGCCAUGCUGAUACCAGUGCUGAAGUAUGCAUCUGGAAGAAUCAUUGGCAUCACUGAUGAGUAAAUCACAUUGUGUUUAUUUGCUUUGGGGUCCUUUCUAAAUACAGUACAAUGACAUCUAACCUGACGUAAGCCUCUCUGCUGUGCUAGAACAUUGGUGAUGUACCUCAGCAACUUGUUAAAGGGAGAAUUUGUGUAGCAGAUGAGUAUUGUAUGCAAAUGGCAAUUAAGUUCAUUUCCACAGGAAAAUCAGUUGUGUAAAGGUACAUUGUUAAUGAAUUUCUCUUCACAAUAAGGAUGUGCAACUCUCAAGAAGUGUUUAUGGAACAUUGUGAAUUUUAAUCUGAUUAUCAGAUAUCUCAAACUAUCCUUGAAAGCUCAGUCAAAUUACAUUUUAAAAAGCCAAAAUGAAAUUAUGAAGGAUUUUCAUCUAUCAAUAAGAGGCAACCAACAUGCAGCUUGAAAAAAAGGGCCCAGCAUUGUAUGGCACUGCCUAUAUUCUGCGAAGUGUUGAGGAUAAGAUUGUUUUAACAGUCAGCGGGAGUCAGAGCCUCUAUACCUCUACAAAUCUCUCUCUCUGCUUUACAUUCUUAUUGCUUUCUUUGAGGGGAGGGAAGUUUGAAGGUCACGGAAUCAAGCUAUUUGCUUAAACAGAACCAGAUGAUUAAUUACUUUUUUGGGGGUUUUGUUGCUCUGAAAACUUUAUCCCAGAAAAGCCAGAGGACACACAAGGUGGUUGGAAGAAAGUUAUAUUAAGAUUACAGAAAUAUUGUGCGUCACAGUUCUCUGGGAAGUAGCUUUUCAUUGUUUAGCAUGAGAGAAAGAAAUACUAACAACUCAGGCUACACAGCUGGGAUUUGUGCUGUGUAAUAAGUUCCAAAUAAAGGAGUUUUAUAAUAAACUUUUAAAUAUUGCACUCAUGCUGAAAGUACAUAUAUUGGAAAGUUUCAGACUGAAAAAUAAUCAGCGCAAUUAACAUUCAAACUGGAUUAAUUGUGAUUUUAGCUUAAAAACUCCCACUCCAUUCUUUCAUGCCUUCCCCUCCAAAAAAUUUGGAAGUCAUCAUUGUAAAUAUCACCUCAAAAAUCUUGCUCUGCGUUUCUUGUUAUUUAAAGCAGAGUUUAUGUACUCAUUUGGGCAAAAUAAGAAUGAAUCUAAUUUAUUCUUAAAUCAGAAACAGAUCCAGAUGAAGAUUUCAAAAUUAUGGGAAUAUUUUUAAUUUAGAUUUCUGUGCAUUUAAGUGGUAUGUUCUAGGGAAAAUGCUGAUUAUUGUCAAAUGUUGAAGAAUAGGUUGCAAAAUCUAUUAAAACCACUGGGAAAACUGCAAACACUUUUGAUAUGCUUUGAAUCAGGACCAUUCUGGAACAGUCCCUGAAUAUAACACUUGGGAUGGGCUGAAAUGUAUCACAUUUACUUUUCCAAAGGUGCUGUUUAUCACGGCAAAUGGACAGGUUUGAGCACCAGCACAAUCUACUUCCUUCUUUGGACUUUUUUUGGCUCAGUUUUGGCAUGGACUGAUCACCUUCUCCCAGCUGAUGGCCAAACACCAUUUGGAUGAUUGCUGUGGACCUAAGGCUCUUCUCAAGAGGUGAUAUGGUUGUGGUAACUCGAUUUAGGGGCAAAGAGGGGAGGGCUGACAGUGUGAGCCCAAACCUUGUUAUACCAUUUAUCCUUAGGGCCAGAGAACGGUUUUGGAAAAGUUAGCAAGUCAAAGGUUUAGUGGAUGAGAGGCCUCUGUCAAGUCUUGUGCAAAAAUUGCUUUUUUUUUCCAGUGUCAAUUUACUGUUUUUAAGUGGGUUUACUCCAGAGUACUAUUACCAUAUGUACUUUCUCAUCCCUCUCUUCUUUUUACUAAUCUUGCUCAGCACAUGAGUUGAUUGUAGUAGUAAAUGGUUUGGCCAAACAUAUGGCAAUGGACAGAAUUAAGGUCCUGGUAAGUAGAGAGAUCAGGCUGUCUUCUGCAUGCCCUCUUGGUCAGUAAAAUCCCAUACACACCAGUGCUACUCUGUUUCCGGAUGUCCACCAUGCCUUGCAUCCCACCAGCCAGGCUGCAGGAAGAGGGGUAAAGCAGCGAGGCUGUUUCCUCCAGGCUGAGCUGCUCCACAGCUCCUUUAGAAGAAAGCAAAUCCUUUGCUACCUUUCUUUUGGUCUGCCUCCUGUUGGCUUCCCCUUCCUCAGCACCAGGAGCUGGUUGAGCCCACUAAUAACUCCAUUCUUCAUCAGUGCCACUGAAUGGGCAUUUUACAAGGCAAAGUUUGACUUAAAGCUCUUAGUAAAAGAAAGAAAUCCUUUUUAUAAUUACAUGAAAAGGACAAUUAUUUUCUCGCAUUGGGAUGAGAUCAGAAUUGGGCUUUCUGCAAUUUUUAUGUCCAAUAUAGAUUUGAUUUACCACAAUCCCCUGAUGAUUUUGGUGCUGAUAAAUAAAUGUAUUUAUAUGUUGUGCUCUUACAUUCCUAGUACUAACUGAGGAAGCAGAACAAUAACAUACUCUUGUCAAUACAAGCACUGCCCUGGGAAUUGACUAAUUAACAUAAAACUCAGCCCUGCAGGGACAUUUCCAGGUUCAUUUUUUGCUGCUUCAGCAAACUAUAGGGUUUGAGCUGUUAACUACUUUCAGAUGCUCUUUGUCUCUGAAGAAAGAAAUAAAGAACAUCCACGUUGCUUUAGGCAAGUUAAUGAUUCUACAGAACACUUACCUUUUUACCAUAUGCUUCAUGGUGGAUUAAAAUCCUGAAGGAGUUGAGGAUUAUAUAGCAUGUAUAGUCCUUUGGCAGAAAAACACUUACUCUGAACUAAAAGUGAAUGGCUGAAUGUGACAUUUAUAUUCAUUGUUUUUCCAGAACUGCGUACUGAGGAUGUUUGAAUUUACUCAAAAUAAUUCUUCCAGUAAUCCCAAAGCAGAGGUUUUGUAGGUGCUUUGAUUUCACGUGUUGUCUUAAGGUUAUGACAAAUAGUUCACAGUGGCUACUGGGAAAACUGGAGAAGUUUGCAUAUUCACUUCUGCAAAGUUAGAAGGAAAUCUGGCCUAACUUGGCAAAGGGAUGUGCUUACAGUUUUGAGGAACACAUAAUACUUGGGUUUUUGUGUGUCUGUGUGAUUUACUUUUCACUCAUGUUCAUUCCCUUGGAUGACAAAAGCAAAGUUUCUUGUCUACAGGAAAAAAUAGGAAAUAAAAGAGAAGGAAAGUCAAACUAAAUAAGGCUUUAAUCUCACAGAUAAAGAAAAAAACUUUCCCUCCUUCUUGUAGUGUUUGCUGUUAUUAUAGACUGUUCUUAAUUUCCACAUGUGCCCAUUGCUUUUGUUUAUGAAUGAACAAAAUGACAUACUGCAGUUCACAGAAAUCAUCUGUAGAAAGAAACAAGGGAAUAAUUUUCUAUCACUGCUGAAAACUCUUCAGUAGAUCUUCAUGUGCUGCAGCUAAAAGGACCUGAAAAUUACAUUUUGAAUGAGCACAUAUACUUUCAAAGUAUUUUGUCAGAGCAGAAAGCUAAGUACACGUGCAAAAUGCACAUUUGAGAAAGCCGAAGUCACAGCACUUGCAGAUACACACAAUAUUCAUAGUUUUGUUUUGUACAUACAUUUACUUGUUGGUGCAUGAAUACAUAAAUUUUGUGAGUGUGCUUCAGGCAUUAGUAUGAGAAGCCGUGUGUAUAUAUGUGACUGUUUGUGCCUAUUAGCACAAAUUAUUACAAUUGCUCAUACCUAUCUGAUCCUGCUGUAUAGGCUUCAUAGGCUUUACCCAUUUGGAAUAAAAUUACACGAUGUAUGUCUGCCUGCACAUUUUUUUUUCCCCCAGCAGUUUUCAAACACAAUAAUUCAAUAUUUGCUAAAAAAGGAAGAAAAAUACCUUGUAAAACACAUAAUGUUUUACUCUUUAUCAGGCAAUGUGGAAAGGUUUCAUUUGUAUUGCUGUGUCUCUUGGGCUUCAGAACAGGAAAGCGCUCAUUCAAAAUGUAACGUCCAAGUCCUUUUAGCUACAGCACAUAAAGGUCUACUGAAAAGUUUUCGGCAGUGAUAUGAAAUGAAGUGGGAUAACUUAGAGAAGUCAGGAGGAUGAGAGGAAAUAAAAACAAAUAUGGGGCCAGUAAGUAGCCAGGACUAUCUGCCAGGACAAGGUGACUCCUGGGAAAAGGAAAGAGAGAUGAGUGACUACAGCAUGAGGAGUCAGAAGUAGGGAAAAGGAAAUACUGCUAUAGUAGUAUUUUGAAUAGGAUGAGACAGCAAGUGUCAGGGUGGUCAGACAAAAAACAGCCUUGGUGCCCUUCUAGUACUUGGAGCAGUACUAAAUGUUUGUGAAAGUCACUUGGGAAGAUUUUCAGUUCCUCUAAUCUCCAUCCACAUUAGCAGCAGCAAUCUACUUCUGCCAUUGUUUACUAGAACAACUGUCAUGCCAGUUUGCAGAGAUCUGUGCAAUGGACUUCAGUGUUUCCAGUAUUGCUGAUUCUGGGAGUCAGCAAAUGCAAAGAUGCUAGAAAUAUGUCGAUGAAGUAUUGCUAUUCCUGUUUAUUUGUAUGCUCUCAUGAUCAGUAAAAUAACUUUCCUUAAUUUAGUCUGCCUUUACUCUUCAUGGAAAGCUUAAGGAAAACUAGGCAUAAGCAGCUUGGUUUCAUUCAAUUUUUCUAUGGAGGUCUCAUCCUGCACACACCAAUGGUGGCCAUCUAUCAUAUAUUUACAUUAUGUUGAAAUGAAGGGAACAUGACAUUUUUCCUUUAUUGUCAGGAGGUGUCAAAAGUAUUAAUAGCAUAAUUUUUGCUAGCUGGCUAAAAUUCUCACACUGCAAUCUUGUGCAUCAGCAUUUUUUUUUUUUUUAAACCACAGAUGGUCAUUUAUGUAACACUGUUGGAAAUUGUUGCCAUGUUCCACAGCAACAGGAAAAUGGGAUACAUCUGCACUUUGUGGGGAAAAAUACAAAUGAACUAGAAGCUAAGCAAACAUUUAAAUUACAGGGAAACGGGACUGCGAUAAGCCCUGGUCUGCAUGAGCAGGAAGAGAGUGUCAGCCUCACCCAUACCCUGAAAAAAUGCUCACAUUUAUGGGCCACUCUAUUGUACUGAGUGGAAGUUUGUUUAUGCGGGACCUUCCUUCCCUCAGGACUUCCUCUGAGAGGAAAUGUCGUCACCAUUUAGUAGGAGUCAAUUGUUAUGCAUUCAAAACUCAAACAUAAAAUAGUAUCCCCGAAUGCAACGAAGUGCAAAGGAAUAAAUAAGAUUUAUGCAUUUACAUAUUUGGAAACAUUUACAAAAGUUGUUCUUGCUCACUAAGACUUUCAGAGAACUGGGUAAAAGCUAAUAAUGCUUGAGUAAGUAGCUCAAAUAAUAUCGUUUUAUAGGUGCUCAAGAUGCUACUCAGUAUUUGAUGAAUUCCACGACUUUUGUCAUCGCUGCUAGUGCUCUAUGGCCGAUGUGGGAAUAUGUUUAAACAGAAGGCUGAAAAUCAGUUUGCAGCUGUAAAACCAGGGUCAUGCUCUUAUGGGAAUACUUGGCUAAGUCUGUUCCAUGUUUUGUACUGAAUGGCUCUGGAUCUGAAGCGCUCUGGGAAAAUACCUACAGAGCUGAAGACCUGAAUGCACAGGUUGAACUGGACUGUGCUUAUGGCCAGCAGGCAACCUAUGUCCACAAGGGGAAUGAAUCCAGGCAGUUUUCUUUGACAUAAAAAGGAAGAAGACUGAAUGUCUGUGAGGCAGAAUUAUAUACCUGGGUUAAAAGCAAGAGCACCCACAGGUAUGGACUAAAGGGUGGUUGUGUGAACACACACCUUCUACAGAACAGAGAAGAAUUGUGAAGGCCUCUUCCCUCUAGAACACCCAGUUCUGCUUGGGAAGAAUGUAAGUCUGCCUUCAACUUGUGGAUACACAAGAACAUACACCUUAAUCCAUGUAGGAAAACUCCUGGACUGAAAUACGUCUCCAUCCAAGAAGACUACCUGAGUAUCAACAAGUGUGCCACACAUCAGCAGUGGCUGUAGAAGACCAAACAUCUUCAGAGAAACUACUCUGAGAUCAUUCUGCUCCUCAACUCCACCACUGAAGCUGAACUGCAUCCCUAUUUAGCAAGUUUUAAUAAUCUGCCUCGGAAGAGGAUGGUUCCUGAAAACAGAUGUAUAGCUCUCUUUCAAUCACUCUAUAUAUCCAUAAAUUAAUUCCCUUUUUGUUAGGUUGCAUGUUAUGUUAAGAAGUUCUUUAAGCUAGCUUCCCAAGCAGGCUUCUAACUGACCACUAAGUAUAGGUCACAACGCAGGAUGCAGUUGCGUCCCAGUUCCCCAGCCAGACCACAGACUAUGCGGACUCCUCUCCUCUCCUCUAAUGGGGCACUUGGGAGUUUCCAUUGGUCUGAAGAAGAGUUUCUUGUUGUGAAUGUGACUGGUUCUACUUCACCUGAGUCUCAUGACAGUGUUUUUAAUGAUCAAGACCUCAAUUUUACUUAAGAUACUAAAAAAAAUUUCUAUCUUCUGUAAUAAAAAAAAUGAAAAAGUGGAGCCCCUCUAAACUGCAGAAUCUAGGAUUCAGAUAAAAUACUUUCCACCACCUUAUUUUUAAGGUACUUACAGUUUAUACAAAACCUCUCCUCCUUCUUUAGUAUCAUUUUCCAUGUGUGUUUUUUUUUUUUGCUUUUUUUUCCAAGAGAAAAUGGAGGUAAGGGAAUUCACUUACACUUUUUUACUUAUUUUUUUCUUGUUUGAGGCUGACAAUAGGCAUUUGCCAGCCUUUUGACUAUAACUAAAAUCAGGGUCAUGCUGAUUUCAUUAGAAGCGAAAUAAAGAACAACUAGUCUCAAAAUGGCAGCAGCUACCAAAUCCCUCCCAGAAGAAAGUCAGGUCAGCAUGCCACGAUGUAUCUGAACCCAAGACAAUGGGAAGGUGACUUCUUUCUCAUCACACUCAGGACAGUGCUAAGGGAAAGGCUGGGAUGAGACCCUCAGAGGAGGCACAGCCUGCCCGACAGUAUGGGCAGCGUUUGGUGGAUUUGAGGAAUUUGCAGUGCAUGCCAUAUCAACUGUUUCCUCUAAGUAUUUCAAAAGGAGUGCAAGAAGCUUUGCUUUUCCCUCUCAUAAGCCCUACAGUCUGAAGGUAACAGUCUGAUGCUGGACAAUACGGGAUGUUCAUUUCUUGUGUAACUCUUAGCUUUUUGCUUGUGUAAUUUUAGAUGAUAUGAGUAAUUGUUUUUUUCCUGCUUUCUUUUCUGUCUUUCUUGCAUCAGUGGAAAUAAAAUAUCAGAAGUAUGGGAAUACUGUAGCAAUUGGAAAGAGUGAAAACAGUGGUUUUCUUGGAAUAAAUUUUCAUGCUACAGGGGUUAGAAGCAAAUGAAGCUAAAAAAUGACAAAAGAGAGCGCCCUUAUACAUACAUUUUCUCUUAUUCCAUUCUUAGCUAUCAAAGAUCUGAAGUUACUAAAUUUACUGCAAAAACAAUUAUUUUUCCAGUCUCUGGGCAGACGGGUGAAGGAUUAGGGUUCUAUUGCAUGAUUGGUUUCUUUCUAUUAUUAUUAGUAGUAGCAGUUUUAGUGCUGUCAGUAUAUUCAGUGCCUUUUUAGUUUGGCUUCUGUUGCUCAAGAAGGAUUGCAAAAGACUUAUUUCUAUUCUGUACACCCAAGGAAGUACUGCUUGUUACUAGCAGGAAAAGAUGUGAAGCUCUGAGAAGGGAACUUGCUGGUCUGUAUUUAACCAUACCAUUCUGAAAAACACAUUUCACCAAGGAGUCAUUCACACAGUUUACUAAGGGGAAAAAAAAAUACCCUGCAAAUUAAAUAAGGCUUCAAAUAAAACAAAUCAUCCUUGGAGAUGCUACUGGGAAUUGUUUCUUUCAGCUCACCCAAGAAAAAUUACUUCCAAGUUAUUUGAAAUGUCAGAUUAUUGGAUUGAAAGUUAG
ensembl:lncRNA